rnacentral:rRNA from 1 species
CACCAGACUCCUACGGGAGGCAGCAGUGAGGAAUAUUGGUCAAUGGGCGGGAGCCUGAACCAGCCAAGUCGCGUGAGGGAAGACGGUCCUAUGGAUUGUAAACCUCUUUAGGCGGGGAGCAAUGCCGGGCACGCGUGCCCGGAGGGAGAGUACCCGCAGAAUAAGCAUCGGCUAACUCCGUGCCAGCAGCCGCGGUAAUACGGAGGAUGCGAGCGUUAUCCGGAUUUAUUGGGUUUAAAGGGUGCGUAGGCGGUCCGUUAAGUCAGCGGUAAAAUGGCGGGGCUCAACCCCGUCGAGCCGUUGAAACUGGCUGCCUUGAGAUGUCGAGAGGUAUGCGGAAUGCGCAGUGUAGCGGUGAAAUGCUUAGAUAUUGCGCAGAACUCCGAUUGCGAAGGCAGCAUACCGGCGGCGAUCUGACGCUGAGGCACGAAAGCGUGGGUAUCGAACAGGAUUAGAUACCCCUGUAUUU